GACGAACGCUGGCGGCGUGCCUAAUACAUGCAAGUAGAACGCAGUUGCGAACGGGUGAGUAACGCGUAGGUAUCUGCCUGGUAGCGGGGGAUAACUAUUGUAAACGAUAGCUAAUACCGCAUACUACCCGAUGGACCUGCGUUGUAUUAGCUAGUUGGUGAGUUAACGGCUCACCAAGGCAACGAUACAUAGCCGGACUGGGAUGGUGGUCGGCCACACUGGGCAUGAGAAACGGCCCAGACUCCUACGGGAGGCAGCAGUAGGGAAUCUUCGGCAAUGGGGGGAACCCUGACCGAGCAAAGCCGCGGGAGUGAAGAAGGGUUUCGGAUCGUAAAGCUCUGUUGUUAAGGGAGCGGUACUUAACCAGAAAGGGACGGCUAACUACGUGCCAGCAGCCGCGGUAAUAC
rnacentral:rRNA from 1 species